rnacentral:rRNA from 1 species
ACGUAGGAGGCUAGCGUUAUCCGGAUUUACUGGGCGUAAAGCGCGUGUAGGCGGCUCGGAAAGUUGGAUGUGAAAGCUCCUGGCUUAACUGGGAGAGGUCGUUCAAUACUUCCGGGCUUGAGAGUGGUAGAGGGAGGUGGAAUUCCGAGUGUAGUGGUGAAAUGCGUAGAUAUUCGGAGGAACACCAGUGGCGAAAGCGGCCUCCUGGACCAUUUCUGACGCUCAGACGCGAAAGCUAGGGUAGCAAACGG